rnacentral:rRNA from 1 species
UACGUAGGUGGCGAGCGUUAUCCGGAAUGAUUGGGCGUAAAGGGAGCGUAGGCGGACUGUCAAGUCAGCGGUAAAAUACGGGGGCUCAACCUCCGACCGCCGUUGAAACUGACGGUCUUGAGUGGGCGAGAAGUAUGCGGAAUGCGUGGUGUAGCGGUGAAAUGCAUAGAUAUCACGCAGAACUCCGAUUGCGAAGGCAGCAUACCGGCGCCCAACUGACGCUGAAGCACGAAAGCGUGGGUAUCAAACAGG